rnacentral:lncRNA from 1 species
UAAGCCGAGAAGAAAAGGAAGAAAGCAACCGAACCAGCCUCUGACAGGAAUAUGAAAGCAAAAUUUCAGAGGCAGGAGAAACACCCCAAAGGGGGAGAAGACUGCAGCUUGCAGUAAUCUGUAAAUGAUUGCUGGUAAAAGCUGGAGGCUUCAGGCUUGAUUUGUGUUUGUUCCAAAAGAAAGCCAAGGAGGACGGUGUUAAUAAAGAGAGAUUUAACUCAGAGCUGUGCUUGGAAUAAAGUGGGCUACAAAAAGGUCAAAUUUGAUCAGUUGGAGCAGAUUACAGGGGCUUUAAAAGGUGGCGUGCGGAACUGGAGCGGGGCUGGGAAGUAAUAUAGCGCAAGAUUGAUUCCGAGGGUGGAGAGAAGCCAGGACAAGCGCUUAUCAGUCCUGGAAGGAGGAAGAGCCGCGCCGGGCGCCGCUCGCUCCGGCCAGAGCCCAGCGGUGCCGCGUCCCCGUCGUCACCCGGUCCUGGUCCCCUCUCUCCUCUCCGGAUCCGCUUGCAGCCGCCUCUUAGACAAUGGUUUCCCUAAUCUCUGACUUGGAUCCCCUGAGAGACUGGAAAGUUUUAAGGUAGGCCCGCUCUGCUUUCUCUCCCCGCUGUCUCAGUUCACCGCCAAGUUCCUGCCCGCCCCCACCGCGGCUGAGCGGAGCCGGUUCUCGCAGAGCCCCGCGAUGGGCUGAGUGACAGGCACCUCCGGUGGGAGGAAUACUGUUUUGACACCGAGACAACUUCAAGCAGAUGGGGGGAGGCAGGGAAUGUGCAGUCCUGAGCCUCCCUGUUGGAGGGGAUGCAGAUGCCUGGGUAAUAAUGGAGGGCAGCCCUGUUUUAGUGAUUCAGACCCUUGCUCGCAGCUGGGGUUCCUCCUAUUUAAUUAUUGGGCUUCAAGGGACACUGAAGGGACCAGGUGGAAUGU